rnacentral:lncRNA from 1 species
GGCAGUGAGCUGUGAUCACACCACUGCACUCCAGCCUGGGCGACAGGGCUGUCUCAAAAAAGAACAGCGUGGCACUGGCUGUGACUGAGGAGACCAGCCACAUAUGCCCAGCCCCUUCAAAUUCUGCCCCCUGCAAGAGGUCUCCUCUGACCACUGGAUCAGCAGCGCCUCAUCACCCUCUGCCUUGUCACACCUGCCUGUCCUCGUGGCUCUGACCACUCGCUAAAGCAUUGUUUAUUGUCGGCACUCUCCACCACAUAAGCAUCGUUGGGGCAGGCAUCUGCAUCUCCCCAGUGCACAGCCUUUUAAAAUACAGGUUUUGGCCGGGCGCGGUGGCUCAUGCCUGUAAUCCCAGCACUUUGGGAGGGUGAGGUGGGUGGAUCACCUGAGCUCAGGAGUUUGAGACCAGCCUGGCCAACAUGGUGAAACUCCGUCUGUACUAAAAACACAAAAAUUAGCCGGGUGUGGUGGUAGGCACCUGUAGUCCCAGCUACUCAGGAGACUGAGACAGGAGAAUCGCCUGAACACAGAGAUGGAGGGUGCAGUGAGCUGAGGUUGCACCAUUGCACUCCAGCCUGGGUGACAGAGCGAGACUCCAUCAAAAAAAAAAAAAAAGAAAAAAAAAAAGCAGGUUUUGGCCGGGCACGGUAGCUCACGCCAGUAGUCCCCGCACUUUGGGAAGGUGAGGUGGGCAGAUCACCUGAGGUCAGGAGUUCGAGACCAGCCUGGCCAACAUGGUGAAACCCUGUCUCUACUAAAAAUAUGAAAAUUAGCUGGGCAUGGUGGCGCAUGCCUGUAACAGAAUGAGACUCCAUCUCAAAAAAAAUAAAAAAGUGCUUUAUGCAAUAUCUGGCAUACAGUAGGUGCAUAGCAAGUGGUUGUGGUUCUUUGAAUUUUUUUAGCAAGAGACAGGUCUAAACCAGGGCUUCCCACUCCUUGCCCAACAGAAAUCCCUCCCCUCUGCCCUCUAAGAAAUUAAGCGUGGCCUAUAGACUUAGGGAAGGGGAAUCGUUGGGCUCGAUUUCCAUUGCAGCUGUAAUCUAUAAUGUUGCAUUACAGUUUUUAAAACAAGAGGCCCCUCUGGCCUCUCAAAUGCUGCACGCUGUGGAGUUAAGUGCUGGAAGCCACUGAUGG